AGCAAUAAAUAAAUAACAUUGUUUUGUUCACAAUGAAGAUGACUCAGGAUACUCAAGAGACAGGGAAUGAUUCAUAUGUGGCCUUCAGACUUCAUCACUUGGAAAGUGAUGAAGAAAUGGCUGUAUCUCAUAGAGAAUGGGAGGAGUUUUGCAGAAAAUGGCUGGAGAAAGGUCAAAUUUGUGAGUAUUGUAUAUUGUGAAAUGUACAUUGUGAAACUAAUGAAAAACUUGUGAAAUUAGCUUUUACUGA
rnacentral:lncRNA from 1 species